CCUACGGGUGGCAGCAGUGGGGAAUAUUGGGCAAUGGGCGCAAGCCUUACCCAGCAAUACCGCGUGAGUGAAGAAGGUCUUCGGAUGGUAAAGCUCUUUGAACAGGGACGAACAGAUGACGGUACCUGAAGAACAAGCCGCGGCUAACGACGUGCCAGCAGCCGCGGUAAAACGUAGGGGGCGAGCGUUUUACGGAAUGACUGGGCGGAAAGGGUGCGUAGGCGGCAGAAUAAGUUAGAAGGGAAUUACCCCGAGCUUAACUCGGGUGCUGCUUCUUAGACUUUUGAGCUUGAUUGCGGGGGAGGUUACUGGAAUUCCUAUUGUAGCGGUGGAAUGCGUAGAUAUUAGGCGGAACACCAGCGGCGAAGGCGCUUAACUGGACCGUACCUGCCGCUGCGGCACGAAAGUGUGGGUAGCAAACAGGAUUAGAUACCCCGGUAGUC
rnacentral:rRNA from 1 species